rnacentral:rRNA from 1 species
GUACACUCCUACGGGAGGCAGCAGUGAGGAAUAUUGGACAAUGGGUGGAAGCCUGAUCCAGCCAUCCCGCGUGCAGGAAGACGGCCCUAUGGGUUGUAAACUGCUUUUAUCUGGGGAUAAACCUACUUACGUGUAAGUAGCUGAAGGUACCAGAAGAAUAAGCACCGGCUAACUCCGUGCCAGCAGCCGCGGUAAUACGGAGGGUGCAAGCGUUAUCCGGAUUUAUUGGGUUUAAAGGGUCCGUAGGCGGACUGAUAAGUCAGUGGUGAAAUCCGACAGCUUAACUGUCGAACUGCCAUUGAUACUGUUAGUCUUGAGUAAGGUUGAAGUGGCUGGAAUAAGUAGUGUAGCGGUGAAAUGCAUAGAUAUUACUUAGAACACCAAUUGCGAAGGCAGGUCACUAAGUCUUAACUGACGCUGAUGGACGAAAGCGUGGGGAGCGAACAGGAUUAGAAACCCUGGUAGUCCCA